rnacentral:rRNA from 1 species
GAUGAACGCUGGCGGCGUGCCUAAUACAUGCAAGUCGAGCGAACGGACGAGAAGCUUGCUUCUCUGAUGUUAGCGGCGGACGGGUGAGUAACACGUGGAUAACCUACCUAUAAGACUGGGAUAACUUCGGGAAACCGGAGCUAAUACCGGAUAAUAUUUUGAACCGCAUGGUUCAAACGUGAAAGACGGUCUUGCUGUCACUUAUAGAUGGAUCCGCGCUGCAUUAGCUAGUUGGUAAGGUAACGGCUUACCAAGGCAACGAUGCAUAGCCGACCUGAGAGGGUGAUCGGCCACACUGGAACUGAGACACGGUCCAGGCUCCUACGGGAGGCAGCAGUAGGGAAUCUUCCGCAAUGGGCGAAAGCCUGACGGAGCAACGCCGCGUGAGUGAUGAAGGUCUUCGGAUCGUAAAACUCUGUUAUUAGGGAAGAACAUAUGUGUAAGUAACUGUGCACAUCUUGACGGUACCUAAUCAGAAAGCCACGGCUAACUACGUG